rnacentral:rRNA from 1 species
UACGAGGGGAGCAAGCGUUGUUCGGAUUUACUGGGCGUAAAGGGCGCGUAGGCGGCCACGACAAGUCACUUGUGAAAUCUCCGGGCUUAACCCGGAACGGUCAAGUGAUACUGUCGGGCUAGAGUACAGAAGGGGCAACUGGAAUUCUCGGUGUAGCGGUGAAAUGCGUAGAUAUCGAGAGGAACACCUGCGGCGAAGGCGGGUUGCUGGGCUGAUACUGACGCUGAGGCGCGAAAGCCAGGGGAGCAAACAGG